rnacentral:rRNA from 1 species
GUGGGGGAUAUUGCACAAUGGAGGAAACUCUGAUGCAGCAACGCCGCGUGAGGGAAGAAGGUUUUCGGAUUGUAAACCUCUGUUUUUAGCGAAGAAACAAAUGACGGUAGCUAAAGAGGAAGCCACGGCUAACUACGUGCCAGCAGCCGCGGUAAUACGUAGGUGGCAAGCGUUGUCCGGAUUUACUGGGUGUAAAGGGUGCGCAGGCGGGACUGCAAGUUGGAUGUGAAAUACCGGGGCUCAACCCCGGAACUGCAUCCAAAACUGUAGUUCUUGAGUGGAGUAGAGGUAAGCGGAAUUCCGAGUGUAGCGGUGAAAUGCGUAGAUAUUCGGAGGAACACCAGUGGCGAAGGCGGCUUACUGGGCUCUAACUGACGCUGAGGCACGAAAGUGUGGGUAGCAAACAGG